rnacentral:rRNA from 1 species
GGGUAUUUAGCUAAAAAGUUUAACCUGCCCACUGAUUGGAACAAAAAUUAAAUGGCCGCGGUAUAUUGACCGUGCAAAGGUAGCAUAAUCGUUAGUUUUUUAAUUGGAAUCUUGUAUGAAUGGUUGGACAAAAGAAAAUCUGUCUUUAUAUUAUUAAUUGAAUUUAACUUUUAAGUGAAAAGGCUUAAAUGGAUUAAAGUGACGAUAAGACCCUAUAAAGCUUUAUAUAGAUAUAUUAUUUAAUUAAAUUUUUAAUAAAAAUUUAGUAGUAAAAUUUAUUUUAUUGGGGCGAUAAGAGUAAAAUUUUUAUUAACUGCUUUAAGUUUUGAAUACAUUUAUGUUUGAUUAAAAUUUUAAAUGAUCCUAAAUAAAGAUUAAAAGUUUAAGUUACUUUAGGGAUAACAGCGUUAUUUUUUUUGAGAGUACUUAUCGAAAAAAAAGUUUGCGACCUCGAUGUUGAAUUAAAAUUUCUUUAUAAUUGCAGAAGUUAUAAAAGUAGGUCUGUUCGACCUUUAAAAUUUUACAUGAUCUGUUUCCAAAACGGAGA